rnacentral:rRNA from 1 species
CCUACGGGUGGCAGCAGUGAGGAAUAUUGGUCAAUGGACGCGAGUCUGAACCAGCCAAGCCGCGUGAAGGAUGACUGCUCUAUGGGUUGUAAACUUCUUUUAUAUGGGACUAAACUCUUCCACGUGUGGGAUUUUGUAUGUACCAUAUGAAUAAGGAUCGGCUAACUCCGUGCCAGCAGCCGCGGUAAUACGGAGGAUCCGAGCGUUCUCCGGAUUUAUUGGGUUUAAAGGGUGCGUAGGCGGUUGGUUAAGUCAGUGGUGAAAGUUUGCGGCUCAACCGUAAAAUUGCAGUUGAUACUGGCAGGCUAGAGUGCAGUAGAGGUAGGCGGAAUGCGUGGUGUAGCGGUGAAAUGCUUAGAGAUCACGAAGAACUCCGAUUGCGAAGGCAGCUCACUGGACUACAACUGACGCUGAGGCUCGAAAGUGUGGGGAGCAAACAGGAUUAGAUACCCGAGUAGUC